UAUGAGGAAACAGAUUCCAGUGAGGAAACA
rnacentral:piRNA from 1 species